rfam:Myotis lucifugus cont2.18059, whole genome shotgun sequence.
GGUGGUUCUCGGGUAAUGCACCCUGAAAUCGGGCUCCCUCCUCUCUGGUUCUGGGGUGCGUCACCCAAGAACCGCC